GCAAGUCGCACGCGCAGCGAGAGGUGCUUGCACCUUUCAAGCGAGUGGCCAAUGGGUGAGUAACACGUGGAUAACCUGCCUCAAGGCUGGGCUUUACAUUUGGAAACAGAUGCUAAUACCGAAUAAAACUUAGUAUCGCAUGAUAUCAAGUUAAAAGGCGCUACGGUGUCACCUAGAGAUGGAUCCGCGGUGCAUUAGUUAGUUGGGGGGGUAAAGGCUUACCAAGACGAUGAUGCAUAGCCGAGUUGAGAGACUGAUCGGCCACAUUGGGACUGAGACACGGCCCAAACUCCUACGGGAGGCUGCAGUAGGGAAUCUUCCACAAUGGGCGCAAGCCUGAUGGAGCAACGCCGAGUGUGUGAUGAAGGCUUUCGGGUCGUAAAGCACUGUUGUAUGGGAAGAAAUGCUAAAAUAGGGAAUGAUUUUAGUUUGACGGUACCAUACCAGAAAGGGACGGCUAAAUACGUGCCAGCAGCCGCGGUAAUACGUAUGUCCCGAGCGUUAUCCGGAUUUAUUGGGCGUAAAGCGAGCGCAGACGGUUGAUUAAGUCUGAUGUGAAAGCCCGGAGCUCAACUCCGGAAUGGCAUUGGAAACUGGUUAACUUGAGUGUUGUAGAGGUAAGUGGAACUCCAUGUGUAGCGGUGGAAUGCGUAGAUAUAUGGAAGAACACCAGUGGCGAAGGCGGCUUACUGGACAACAACUGACGUUGAGGCUCGAAAGUGUGGGUAGCAAACAGGAUUAGAUACCCUGGUAG
rnacentral:rRNA from 1 species